UACGUAGGGUGCGAGCGUUGUCCGGAAUUAUUGGGCGUAAAGGGCUCGUAGGCGGUUUGUCGCGUCGGGAGUGAAAUCCACUGGCUUAACUGGUGGCUUGCUUUCGAUACGGGCAGACUGGAGGUAUGCAGGGGAGAACGGAAUUCCUGGUGUAGCGGUGAGAUGCGCAGAUAUCAGGAGGAACACCGGUGGCGAAGGCGGUUCUCUGGGCAUGUCCUGACGCUGAGGAGCGAAAGUGUGGGGAGCGAACAGG
rnacentral:rRNA from 1 species